UACGAAGGUCCCAAGCGUUUGUUCGGAAUCACUGGGCGUAAAGGGUGCGUAGGCGGCGCGAAAAGUCAGAUGUGAAAUCCCGGGGCUCAACCCCGGAAUUGCAUCCGAUACUCUCGUGCUCGAGGACUGGAGGGGAGUCUGGAAUUCACGGUGUAGCAGUGAAAUGCGUAGAUAUCGUGAGGAACACUAUUGGCGAAGGCGAGACUCUGGACAGUUCCUGACGCUGAGGCACGAAGGCCAGGGGAGCGAAGGGG
rnacentral:rRNA from 1 species